AUUGUAUUCCUUUGAUAUAUGUUUUGCUUGUUUUGUGUGACUACGGUUGAAUUGGAAAACUGGAAAUUAAAUGUAAACAGAAAAUUGUUUGAUUAAGUGGAUGGAUAAAACGACAGUCUUUACUUGAUAUCCUAGGAGAUGGUGGACGAAUUGGGUACAUAAGGAACCCUACCAUGAACGUUGCCUCAUACCGGACGGGGUAUCGAGGUUUGGUAAUUUGGUGCUCAUACCGGACGGGAUAUUGAGGGAUGGUAUCUUUUGGUGCUCAUACCGGACGGGAUAUGGGGAUGAUCCGUUAAUUAAAAAUGUAAAAAAGAGGGUUCACGCGUAGUGGAGAUAUCCUUAUGUACCCCCAUAGAUAUCAGUAGGCUGAUAAAAGGGAAGGUUGUUGUUUCAACUGAUCGUAUAUGAAAUUAUGAUAUGUGUUAUGUUAUUGACUCU
rnacentral:lncRNA from 1 species